rnacentral:lncRNA from 1 species
UGCUUAUUAAAAAAACUGAAUAUAAAACCAUAAGUCGAGGGAAAACAAACAACUCUAUGUUCACAAUAAAAACAAUGACAAAACUACUAAGGGAGCUACCAUUUGAUUUUUAUGUGGGGGGGGGGGGGGGGGGGGGGGGGGGCUAGGAUGAAAAAUUUUGUCCUGCAUUUUUAUUUAGUUGUAAUCUCUGUCCUGCCUUUUUAUUUUUCACUCUAUUCGGUCCUGCCUUUUUUUUUAUUAGUUUAUCCUGACUUUUUUACCUAAAUUGUCAUCCUGCCUUUUUUUUUUGCAAAGUGUCUCAUCCUGCCUUUUUUUUUACUCAAAACUCCUGUCCUGCCUAUUUUUUUCAAAUUUCAUCCUAGCCCCCCCAUAAAAAUCAAAUGGUAGCUCCCUAACGAUUUA